GCCUAACAGCUAGCCCGCCCCCCAAAAUUAAACUCACCACCAUCAAUAACCCCACAUACACUAAACAGUACAAAACAAACCAUUUUCCCCUCUUAGUAUGGGAGACAGAAAAGAGCUCCGGCGCAAUAAUAAAAGUACCGCAAGGGAAUGCUGAAAGAGAAAUGAAACAACCCAGUAAAGCCUAAAAAAGCAGAGACUAAACCUCGUACUUU
rnacentral:rRNA from 1 species